rnacentral:rRNA from 1 species
CGAGGUUGGUUUAGUUAAGUCAGAUGUAGAAACGGCCCGGGGCUACCAACCGUACGGUAAUUGCUAUUUAGAAACGUGGCAGACUAGAGUACUGUAGAGGGGGUAGAAUUUCAGGUGUAGCGGUGAAAUGCGUAGAGAUCUGAAGGAAUACCGGUGGCGAAGGCGGCCCCCUGGACAGAUACUGACACUCAGAUGCGAAAGCGUGGGGAGCAAACAGGAUUAGAUACCCUGGUAG